GAUGAACGCUGGCGGCGUGCUUAACACAUGCAAGUCGAACGGUGAACACGGAGCUUGCUCUGUGGGAUCAGUGGCGAACGGGUGAGUAACACGUGAGCAACCUGCCCCUGACUCUGGGAUAAGCGCUGGAAACGGCGUCUAAUACUGGAUAUGUGACGUGACCGCAUGGUCUGCGUUUGGAAAGAUUUUUCGGUUGGGGAUGGGCUCGCGGCCUAUCAGCUUGUUGGUGAGGUAAUGGCUCACCAAGGCGUCGACGGGUAGCCGGCCUGAGAGGGUGACCGGCCACACUGGGACUGAGCCACGGCCCAGACUCCUACGGGAGGCAGCAGUGGGGAAUAUUGCACAAUGGGCGCAAGCCUGAUGCAGCAACGCCGCGUGAGGGAUGACGGCCUUCGGGUUGUAAACCUCUUUUAGCAGGGAAGAAGCGAAAGUGACGGUACCUGCAGAAAAAGCGCCGGCUAACUACGUG
rnacentral:rRNA from 1 species